rnacentral:rRNA from 1 species
ACGCUCGACACCUACGGGGGCAGCAGUAGGGAAUCUUCCACAAUGGGCGCAAGCCUGAUGGAGCAACACCGCGUGAGUGAAGAAGGGUUUCGGCUCGUAAAGCUCUGUUGUUGGAGAAGAACGUGCGUGAGAGUAACUGUUCACGCAGUGACGGUAUCCAACCAGAAAGUCACGGCUAACUACGUGCCAGUAGCCGCGGUAAUCUGAGCGGCUGGCAAGGC